rnacentral:rRNA from 1 species
UACGUAGGGGGCUAGCGUUGUCCGGAUUUAUUGGGCGUAAAGAGCGUGUAGGCGGCCAGGUAGGUCUGGUGUGAAAACUCGAGGCUUAACCUCGAGAUGUCAUCGGAAACCAUCUGGCUAGAGUCCGGAAGAGGAGAGUGGAAUUCCUGGUGUAGCGGUGGAAUGCGCAGAUAUCAGGAGGAACACCGGUGGCGAAGGCGGAUCUCUGGGCCUUACCUGACGCUGAGACGCGAAAGCUAGGGGAGCGAACAGG